CGAUUUGGAGGUUGUGCCCUUGAGGCGUGGCUUCCGGAGCUAACGCGUUAAAUCGACCGCCUGGGGAGUACGGCCGCAAGGUUAAAACUCAAAUGAAUUGACGGGGGCCCGCACAAGCGGUGGAGCAUGUGGUUUAAUUCGAUGCAACGCGAAGAACCUUACCUGGUCUUGACAUCCACAGAACUUUCCAGAGAUGGUUGGUGCCUUCGGGAACUGUGAGACAGGUGCUGCAUGGCUGUCGUCAGCUCGUGUUGUGAAAUGUUGGGUUAAGUCCCGCAACGAGCGCAACCCUUAUCCUUUGUUGCCA
rnacentral:rRNA from 1 species